UGGUUGGUGACCUCACAGUGGUAGGGGCUUCCAGAGAGCAGGGGUGGGCAGAGGAACCCUCCCGUCCCACACCACCACCACCACCCUGCCCCAUGUCACCACCAGCUGCCUGGUGAGCCCCUGCCAUGGGGAGAAUCCGGCCGCCAUGCCCCAGGCAGAGCUGCUGGGGGGCGAGGGGGUGAGCAGCCAGACCUUCCUGACCCUUGGUGGACACGAGAGAGCCCGUCCUGCCCACAUCAGCCCUCAGGCCAGCAAGGAGGUGUCAGACAGGAGCCACCUUUGGAGCAAGACGUCUCUGCAAGAAACCUCAAAGUCCCCUGCGUCAGCGUCAAUACAGAGAAUAAAGCAGAAAACAGGGUGGAAGAGGAAAUUUCAGCCAUGCUUCCUGAAAUGUCUUCAGUAGAGUGUCAAGUGUCAGGGACUAGCAGCCGGCAGACGUGGGGACAGGAGCACCAUCAGGGCAGCCAACACCUCGUGGGACCAGAACCAGCAGGUGACAACCCAGAGCCGGGGGUGCAAGAGGCCCAGGGGAGCGGGGGCUCGCAGGGUAGGGUGGGUGGCAUGGCUCAGCAUCCCAGCAGCCUUUCCCAACAGCGGGACUCCUGCCACAGCUGGCAGCGGGUCUCCAGCGGGGGCAGCUGGCAGUCCCUGGGGAUGGAGCCCUGCCCGGGGGACCAGCCCUGGCAGAGCGGGUGGCAGCCCCAGCGCUGGGACUCCCAGCUCAGUGUGGACUCCAUGGAGAGAGCGGAGCGAGCCCAGGGCACCGCCUACAGCCCUGAGGAGGGGGCCAUCUGGAUCAGCAGAAGGACCACCAGAACUGUGACCAACAGGAGCCAGCAGACGAGCCGAGUGUGGAGCCAGAAGGCGGAAAACCCGAGGUCCCCCGCUCAGAAAUCUGCCACCAGCAUCGGUGCAGAGACCAGGUCGGUGAAAGGGGUGGGAAAGGAAAUCUCAGAUAUCUGCCUCGAAACAAGGAGCCAGCCAGCAAGGCAGGAGUCGCGGCGUGGCAGCCAGCUGGCACCAGGGCAGGGAUCGUGGUGCGGCAGCGAGAAGGUGCUGGGGUGGGAUUCCCUGCCUGGUGGCCAGCAGUCCCCAGCGCCGGCGUCGUGGCAUGGCAGCCAGAAGGUAUCAGGGCAGGACUUGUGUUGGAGCAGCCAGCACUCGUUGGGGAGGGACUCGUGGUGGGGCAGCCAGCAGACAUUUGGGCAGGAGUCACGGCACAGCGGCCAGAAGGUACCACCAGAGCAGCAGUCUCAGCCCCAGCAGCCUGGAGAAAAGAAACUGGAGCUAUCUGAGAAACCCUCUCAUGGUGGCCUGCUGCUGGUGCUCCAGCUGCAGUGCAAGAACCUCCAGGGGAUAGAGGUUUUGGUGGAGGAGCAAGCGGCUAAACCUUGGAGGAAGAGAAGUCAGGAAAGAGUCGAAGGUGGCACCUUGCAGCUGUCCCAGGGCUCCAUGGCUAAGCAAGGGGAAGCGUGGCAGACCUUCAACCUCUUCUCUCAAGAAGGAGGGACCUGGACGGGCAGAACAGGGAGAAUUCUGAUCAGCUGUGAUGAGGAAACUGGUAAGACUGUGAUCCAGAGCAUCCACAAAACAUCUCAGCACCCUCCAGGACAGCCAUCCCAAAGCGAAGGGGUGACCAGCAUCCCCAAGGAGAGCGGUGGAGCAGACACAGAAAAGCUGAAGGUGGUGGGACAAGGGUCCUGGCACAGUGGUGGGACAGACAGAGGUGGGGAAGCUGCCUCAGAGCUCCCAGCUGCCUCCCAAAGACCUGGGGGUCUACUGAGCAUGGCCGUAGCCGUGGAAAUGGUUCACGAGGCUCAGCAGACCCACAGUGUUAUUACUCUGGAUGAAGGACUCUGGGUCAGGAGGCGAACGGGCAAAUUGCUGCGGGACAAAAGCCAGCAGACCAGCAUCUCUGCCCUGCGGAAGAGCAACAGCGGGGUGCAGGAGCAGAGGGGACGGGGGGGCAGCAGCUUGGGGCAGCAGGAGGGGGGUGAACCCCAGAAGCGCCCAUCAGAGCUGGAGGUGCCAGAACCUCGUCGGAGAACCUCCUCACGCAGCAGCCAACUGUCUGGCCACAACUGAUGGGGAACAGCCAAAGGAACCCCAGUGUGACCCCCAGCUGUGAAGGGUGGCUGGGCUCUGGGUUGCAGAGGCUUGAAGAGGAACCGGGCAACGAAAAUCUGUGGGGCCAUGAGGUACUGAAACCAUCAUCUGGGACGGGACAGGAAAAGUGAAGAAAAGCAAAGACAAAAAUCACAGCAAAGGAAAAAUUGAGCUGCAAGGUGUCAAAAGGAAUAAACCCACAUAAAGCAGAAAAAAAAUAAUUAAA
rnacentral:lncRNA from 1 species